rnacentral:rRNA from 1 species
AACGAACGCUGGCGGCGUGCUUAACACAUGCAAGUCGAACGCGAAAGGGACUUCGGUCCUGAGUAGAGUGGCGCACGGGUGAGUAACGCGUAGAUAAUCUGUCCUUGUGUCUGGAAUAAUACGUCGAAAGGUGUACUAAUACCGGAUAUUCUUGCUUUAUAUAAGUAGAGUAAGGAAAGGUGGCCUCUGACAUAAGCUACUGCAUAAGGAGGGGUCUGCGUACCAUUAGCUAGUAGGUGGGGUAAAGGCCUACCUAGGCUACGAUGGUUAACGGGUCUGAGAGGAUGAUCCGUCACACUGGCACUGGAACACGGGCCAGACACCUACGGGAGGCAG